GACGAACGCUGGCGGCGUGCUUAACACAUGCAAGUCGAACGGAAAGGCCCUGCUUUUGUGGGGUGCUCGAGUGGCGAACGGGUGAGUAACACGUGAGUAACCUGCCCUUGACUUUGGGAUAACUUCAGGAAACUGGGGCUAAUACCGGAUAGGAGCUCCUGCUGCAUGGUGGGGGUUGGAAAGUUUCGGCGGUUGGGGAUGGACUCGCGGCUUAUCAGCUUGUGGUUGGGGUAGUGUCUGACCAAGGCUUUGACGGGUAGCAGGCCUGAGAGGGUGACCGGCCACAUUGGGACUGCGGUGCGGCCCAGAAUACUACGGGAGGCAGCAGUGGGGAAUAUUGCACAAUGGGCGGAAGCAUGAUGAAGCAACGCCGCGUGCGGGAUGAAGGACUUCGAGUUGUAAACCGCUUUCGCCUGUGACGAAGAGUGAGUGACGGUAAUGGGUAAAGAAGCACCGGCUAACUACGUG
rnacentral:rRNA from 1 species